GCUAUAAUUCUAGCCAACACACUAAGCAAUCUAAUAAUAAACAAAAUAAACCAUUUAAUCAAGAAAGUAUAGGCGAUAGAAACUUUAACCAUGAGCAAUAGAAAAAGUACUGCAAAGGAAAGAUGAAAUAAAAUUGAAAUAAAUAACAAAAACAAAUAAAAGAAAAGGCUAAACCUUGUACCUUUUGCAUAAUGGUCUAGUAAGUAGAACCUAACAAAAAGAAAUAAAGUUAACCCCCCCGAAACUAGACGAGCUACUCAAAAGCAGCACUAACCAGGGCCAACCCUUCUCUGUGGCAAAAGAGUGGGAAGACUUUUAAGUAGAGGCGAUAAACCUAACGAGCCUAGUGAUAGCUGGUUGCUUGAAAAAUGAAUCUUAGUUCAGCUUAAACUGCUUUUUAAUUAAUAAAAAAUAAAAACAGCACUUUAAAGUUAAUUAAUAAAGGUACAGCUUUAUUAAUAAAGGAUACAACCUAUAAUAUGAAUAAAGAUUAUAUUUACCAAAGCAUUUAACCCCGUAGGCCUAAAAGCAGCCACCACAAGAAAGCGUCAAAGCCCAAUUAACAUAAACCUUAUUAUCCCUAUAAAAAAAUCUAAAUUCACACAACUUAUCAAGCCUAUCUACACAGUAGAUAAGUUUAUACUAGAAUGAGUAAUAAGAACACACUCUCUAAAUGCACGUGUAAAUCAGAACGAAAUAAUCACUGAUAAUUAACGACCAAAAUACACCACAAACCAAGAAAAACACAUUUAAAACCCCGUUAACCCAACACAGGAGCAUCAAAGAAAGAUUAAAAGAUUAAAAAGGAACUCGGCAAUCACGAACUUCGCCUGUUUACCAAAAACAUCGCCUCUUGCGAUAACUAAGUAUAAGAGGUCCCGCCUGCCCAGUGACUAAUUUCAACGGCCGCGGUAUCAUGACCGUGCAAAGGUAGCGUAAUCACUUGUCUUUUAAAUAAAGACCUGUAUGAAAGGCAAAACGAAAGUUCAACUGUCUCUCUAAUCCAAUCAAUGAAAUUUAUCUUUUCGUGCAGAAGCGAAAAUAAGUAUAUAAGACGAGAAGACCCUAUGGAGCUUUAAACACACUACUAACUAUCCUACAAUAUUCUAACCAAUAGGCAAAACUAUAGACCACAUAGCCAUAGUAUAAGUUUUAGGUUGGGGCGACCACGAAGAAAAAAAAAUCCUUCGAGAUAAACAAUUUAGAACAACACUUCAAAAAUUAAAACAUUUAUUAUAAAUGAUCCACUAAGUGACCAACGAACCAAGUUACCCUAGGGAUAACAGCGCAAUCCUUUCUAAGAGUCCAUAUCGACGAAUGGGUUUACGACCUCGAUGUUGGAUCAGGACACCCAAAUGGUGCAGAAGCUAUUAAAGGUUCGUUUGUUCAACGAUUAAAGUCCUACGUGAUCUGAGUUCAGACCGGAGCAAUCCAGGUCAGUUUCUAUCUAUAUAAAAUUUUUUCUAGUACGAAAGGACCGAAAAAAUAGAGCCCAUUAUAAACUAAUGCUCUCACACAAUUGAAAACAAAUAAAAUACACACACAAAAACACCCCAAGAACAGGAUAAA
rnacentral:rRNA from 1 species